rnacentral:tRNA from 1 species
CGGUUCGUAGUUUAAUUGGCAAAACAUAGUUCUCAUGAAGCUAGUGUUGCAGGUUCAAUUCCUGCCGGACUGA